rnacentral:rRNA from 1 species
UAGGGAAUCUUCCGCAAUGGACGAAAGUCUGACGGAGCAACGCCGCGUGAGUGAUGAAGGUUUUCGGAUCGUAAAACUCUGUUGUUAGGGAAGAACAAGUACGAGAGUAACUGCUCGUACCUUGACGGUACCUAACCAGAAAGCCACGGCUAACUACGUGCCAGCAGCCGCGGUAAUACGUAGGUGGCAAGCGUUGUCCGGAAUUAUUGGGCGUAAGGCGCGCAGGCGGUUCCUUAAGUCUGAUGUGAAAGCCCACGGCUCAACCGUGGAGGGUCAUUGGAAACUGGGGAACUUGAGUGCAGAAGAGAAGAGUGGAAUUCCACGUGUAGCGGUGAAAUGCGUAGAGAUGUGGAGGAACACCAGUGGCGAAGGCGACUCUUUGGUCUGUAACUGACGCUGAGGCGCGAAAGCGUGGGGAGCAAACAGGAUUAGAUACCCUGGUAGUCCACGCCGUAAACGAUGAGUGCUAAGUGUUAGAGGGUUUCCGCCCUUUAGUGCUGCAG